AGGAAUAUUGGUCAAUGGACGAGAGUCUGAACCAGCCAAGUAGCGUGAAGGAUGACUGCCCUAUGGGUUGUAAACUUCUUUUAUACGGGAAUAAAGUGAGGCACGUGUGCCUUUUUGUAUGUACCGUAUGAAUAAGGAUCGGCUAACUCCGUGCCAGCAGCCGCGGUAAUACGGAGGAUCCGAGCGUUAUCCGGAUUUAUUGGGUUUAAAGGGAGCGUAGGCGGACGCUUAAGUCAGUUGUGAAAGUUUGCGGCUCAACCGUAAAAUUGCAGUUGAUACUGUCAGUCUUGAGUACAGUAGAGGUGGGCGGAAUUCGUGGUGUAGCGGUGAAAUGCUUAGAUAUCACGAAGAACUCCGAUUGCGAAGGCAGCUCACUGGACUGCAACUGACACUGAUGCUCGAAAGUGUGGGUAUCAAACAGGAUUAGAUACCCUGGUAGUCCACACAGUAAACGAUGAAUACUCGCUGUUUGCGAUAUACAGUAAGCGGCCAAGCGAAAGCAUUAAGUAUUCCACCUGGGGAGUACGCCGGCAACGGUGAAACUCAAAGGAAUUGACGGGGGCCCGCACAAGCGGAGGAACAUGUGGUUUAAUUCGAUGAUACGCGAGGAACCUUACCCGGGCUUAAAUUGCAGUGGAAUGAUGUGGAAACAUGUCAGUGAGCAAUCACCGCUGUGAAGGUGCUGCAUGGUUGUCGUCAGCUCGUGCCGUGAGGUGUCGGCUUAAGUGCCAUAACGAGCGCAACCCUUAUCUUUAGUUACUAACAGGUUAUGCUGAGGACUCUAGAGAGACUGCCGUCGUAAGAUGUGAGGAAGGUGGGGAUGACGUCAAAUCAGCACGGCCCUUACGUCCGGGGCUACACACGUGUUACAAUGGGGGGUACAGAAGGCAGCUAGCGGGUGACCGUAUGCUAAUCCCAAAAGCCUCUCUCAGUUCGGAUCGAAGUCUGCAACCCGACUUCGUGAAGCUGGAUUCGCUAGUAAUCGCGCAUCAGCCACGGCGCGGUGAAUACGUUCCCG
rnacentral:rRNA from 1 species